rnacentral:rRNA from 1 species
AGAGUUUGAUCAUGGCUCAGAUUGAACGCUGGCGGCAGGCCUAACACAUGCAAGUCGAGCGGCAGCACAAGUGAGUUUACUCAUGAGGUGGCGAGCGGCGGACGGGUGAGUAAUGCCUAGGGAUCUGCCCAGUCGUGGGGGAUAACAGUUGGAAACGACUGCUAAUACCGCAUACGCCCUACGGGGGAAAGGAGGGGACCUUCGGGCCUUCCGCGAUUGGAUGAACCUAGGUGGGAUUAGCUAGUUGGUGAGGUAAUGGCUCACCAAGGCGACGAUCCCUAGCUGUUCUGAGAGGAUGAUCAGCCACACUGGGACUGUGACACGGCCCAGACUCCUACGGGAGGCAGCAGUGGGGAAUAUUGCACAAUGGGGGAAACCCUGAUGCAGCCAUGCCGCGUGUGUGAAGAAGGCCUUCGGGUUGUAAAGCACUUUCAGUAGGGAGGAAAGGUUAGUAGUUAAUACCUGCUAGCUGUGACGUUACCUACAGAAGAAGGACCGGCUAACUCCGUGCCAGCAGCCGCGGUAAUACGGAGGGUCCAAGCGUUAAUCGGAAUUACUGGGCGUAAAGCGUGCGCAGGCGGUUGAUUAAGCGAGAUGUGAAAGCCCCGGGCUCAACCUGGGAAUUGCAUUUCGAACUGGUCGACUAGAGUCUUGUAGAGGGGGGUAGAAUUCCAGGUGUAGCGGCGAAAUGCGUAGAGAUCUGGAGGAAUACCGGUGGCGAAGGCGGCCCCCUGGACAAAGACUGACGCUCAGGCACGAAAGC